UACGAAGGGAGCUAGCGUUGUUCGGAAUUACUGGGCGUAAAGCGCACGUAGGCGGACAUUUAAGUCAGGGGUGAAAGCCCGGAGCUCAACUCCGGAAUUGCCUUUAAGACUGCAUCGCUAGAAUUGUGGAGAGGUGAGUGGAAUUCCGAGUGUAGAGGUGAAAUUCGUAGAUAUUCGGAAGAACACCAGUGGCGAAGGCGACUCACUGGACACAUAUUGACGCUGAGGUGCGAAAGCGUGGGGAGCAAACAGG
rnacentral:rRNA from 1 species